CCUACGGGGGGCAGCAGUGAGGAAUAUUGGUCAAUGGACGAGAGUCUGAACCAGCCAAGCAGCGUGAAGGAUGACUGCUCUAUGGGUUGUAAACUUCUUUUAUAUGGGAAUAAAAUGUUCCACGUGUGGGAUUUUGUAUGUACCAUAUAAAUAAGGAUCGGCUAACUCCGUGCCAGCAGCCGCGGUAAUACGGAGGAUCCGAGCGUUAUCCGGAUUUAUUGGGUUUAAAGGGAGCGUAGGUGGAUUGUUAAGUCAGUUGUGAAAGUUUGCGGCUCAACCGUAAAAUUGCAGUUGAAACUGGCAGUCUUGAGUACAGUAGAGGUGGGCGGAAUUCGUGGUGUAGCGGUGAAAUUCUUAGAUAUCACGAAGAACACCGAUUGCGAAGGCAGCUCACUGGACUGCAACUGACACUGAGGCUCGAAAGUGUGGGGAGCAAACAGGAUUAGAUACCCCUGUAGUC
rnacentral:rRNA from 1 species